UACGUAGGGUGCGAGCGUUAAUCGGAAUUACUGGGCGUAAAGCGCGCGUAGGCGGCUUUGCAAGUCGGGUGUGAAAGCCCGGAGCUCAACUCCGGAAGUGCAUUCGAUACUGCGUAGCUAGAGUACUGGAGAGGAUGGUGGAACUCUCGGUGUAGAGGUGAAAUUCGUAGAUAUCGGGAGGAACACCAAUGGCGAAGGCAGCUCGCUGGGACGGUACUGACGCUGAGACGCGAAAGCGUGGGGAGCAAACAGG
rnacentral:rRNA from 1 species